CGGCGAGUGAAGCGGGAAGAGCUCAAAUUUGAAAUCUGGUAGCCUUCGGUUGCCCGAGUUGUAAUCUAGAGAAGUGUUUUCCGCGUUGGCCCAUGUACAAGUCCCUUGGAACAGGGCGUCAUAGAGGGUGAGAAUCCCGUCCUUGACAUGGACCCCCAAUGCUUUGUGAUACACUUUCAACGAGUCGAGUUGUUUGGGAAUGCAGCUCAAAAUGGGUGGUGAAUUCCAUCUAAAGCUAAAUAUUGGCGAGAGACCGAUAGCGAACAAGUACCGUGAGGGAAAGAUGAAAAGCACUUUGGAAAGAGAGUUAAACAGUACGUGAAAUUGUUGAAAGGGAAACGAUUGAAGUCAGUCAUGCUCUUUGGAUUAAGCCGUUCUGCGGUGUAUUUCAUUGAGCGGGGUCAACAUCAGUUUUGAUCGCUGGAAAAGGGCAGGAGGAAGGUAGCACUCUCGGGUGAACUUAUAGCCUCUUGUCGUAUACAGUGAUUGGGACUGAGGAACGCAGCAUGCCUUUUGGCCGGGAUUCGUCCACGUACAUGCUUAGGAUGUUGACAUAAUGGCUUUAAACGACCCGUCUUGAA
rnacentral:rRNA from 1 species